GUGUUCAAAGCAAAUCUUAUGUUAAUGAAUAAUGAAGCAUGGGACAAUAUCGAGGAGAUCUUUCGGGAUUUCGGGAAAAGGAUUAAGAGGAACAAUUGGGGUGAUUCAGAAAAUGACGGGAGAGGUAAAAUUCCAUGAUCGCCAUAAGAUGCACGAGAGCGAAAGCAUUUCACUCAAUUGCGUUCAUUAAUCAAGAACGAAAGUUAGGGGAUCGAAGACGAUUAGAUACCGUCGUAGUCCUAACUAUAAACGAUGUCAACCAAGGAUUGGAUUAGUUUUAGAGUGACAGAAGUCCGG
rnacentral:rRNA from 1 species